rnacentral:lncRNA from 1 species
GGACUGAGAUCUCGUGUCACUCGGGGCUGCUGCGGUGCUGCGUGGAGGAGGUGCUCCAGGCGAAAGCUUGCCGGGCAAGAGCUUGCCGGCCGACGAUGUCGGCGUCUGUGGACGUCGUCUUACCUUCUUGGAGGCACCGUUGAGGAGUUCUCUCCCUACACAUCCUCGGAUCCAGUUCUUUGGGUGAAAACCUUAGGCCCGGUUGGGCCGGACGACGGCGUCGACAUCGUCGCUUCCUCCUUGGGGGCGUCGUCUUGAAGAGCCUUGGAUUUCGAUUGCACUCUUCAGGGGCUAGACGCUCGCGACAUUGCGGUCGGCUGGGGAUCGUCCGGCAAUGUGGAUGAUCUGCGCGGUUUCUUGUGUGGCAACGAUGGCCCCUUCAAGCGGAGAAGGAUUUGUUGUUGGGUCCUGGUAGUCGGUCUCGUCCGGCAUGUUCGAGGGGUCGUCGUGCCUCUCUUGUCUUCUGAAGUCGGAGCCGUUUGAGGGGGAUCCUUGCGGCGACGAUGACGUGAAGAUGGGUGGUUGGUUCUGGCGCUGGCUCGACGCAGGUCCAGUGCUUUCUUCCUUCAAUGCUCGUCGGCUGAGUCGAAGUUGCCUGGUCGCCGGUGCGUGUGGUGGACUGUUUGGCGUUGUCCGACGCAGGCCUCUACGCUUGUCUGAGGUGCAGGCUACAUUGGUGGUCGUCGAUGGUGAAGUCGGAGUCGCCCUCGCGGAGGCGUGAUGACGAUGACGCCGGAUUACAACCUCGACGAAGUUCUUCCCUUAGGCGGCGUGUGUGCGUUCUUGUAAAGGUUGCCAGGUCGCCCUGUGUGCCUUGUUGUGGCGGGCGCAUUGUGACGGUUUUAGCCCGGUUUUCUGAUUAUUAACCGGGCAACUCUCUUCGACCUUUUUUAAUAAGAUCGGUACCUCAGGGACCGUGUUUUAAAAAAAAAUAUAGCCGC